GAUGAAGAACGUAGCGAAAUGCGAUACUUGGUGUGAAUUGCAGAAUCCCGUGAACCAUCGAGUCUUUGAACGCAAGUUGCGCCCGAAGCCAUUAGGCCGAGGGCACGCCUGCCUGGGCGUCACACGUCGUUGCCCCCCAUCUACUCCUUCGGGAUUGCGGGGGGCGGAUGAUGGCCUCCCGUGCGCCUCGUCGCGCGGUUGGCAUAAAUGCCAAGUCCUCGGCGACGCACGCCACGACAAUCGGUGGUUGCGAAACCUCGGUUGCCCGUCGUGUGCGGUCGUCGCGCAUCGAGGGCUCGAAAAAAUUGCCGGGCUCCGGCUCGGCUUUCAACGCGACCCCAGGUCAGGCGGGGUUACCCGCUGAAUUUAAGCAUAUCAAUAAGCGAGGA
rnacentral:misc_RNA from 1 species